CUCCGGUUCUGGCCAGUGAGUGACGUGGGAGCUUGUUUGUGUGUGGGCUGUUCCCACAGCCUGAUGCCCCACGCUGCCCAGCCCCACCCGACUCUCAGAAGAAGGCACAGCCCUAUGUACUCCGGCCUUGGAUUGCAGUGAUGACUGGGCCAUUUUCCUCUUUCUUGGUGUUAUGCAGGUUAGACUACGUUCAUGCUUUCCACAACACAGUUUUAUGCACUACUGGCCAAACACAAACUGAAAGCAGAGAGCUGUCACGUCUAGAGGGCCCCACAAAGGUGAACUGAGGAUUCCUGCAGACCCACUUUGGUCUUGGAAGACUGGUGUCACCUGAAGAUGUGUAGCCUGCACUUUUGGGUGGGGCCCGUGGGAACGUUUGGUCAACCUUUGGUUCCAUGACUUCUGUGGCUUUGUGAACACACCUGCCCCAGCUGGAAUGUCUGUACCCUGAGUUCUCCUCA